GAUGAACGCUGGCGGCGUGCCUAAUACAUGCAAGUCGAGCGAACGGACGAGAAGCUUGCUUCUCUGAUGUUAGCGGCGGACGGGUGAGUAACACGUGGAUAACCUACCUAUAAGACUGGGAUAACUUCGGGAAACCGGAUCUAAUACCGGAUGAUAUUUUGAACCGCAUGGUUCAAAAGUGAAAGACGGUCUUGCUGUCACUUAUAGAUGGAUCCGCGCUGCAUUAGCUAGUUGGUAAGGUAACGGCUUACCAAGGCAACGAUGCAUAGCCGACCUGAGAGGGUGAUCGGCCACACUGGAACUGAGACACGGUCCAGACUCCUACGGGAGGAAGCAGUAGGGAAUCUUCCGCAAUGGGCGAAAGCCUGCCGGAGCAACGCCGCGUGAGUGAUGAAGGUCUUCGGAUCGUAAAACUCUGUUAUUAGGGAAGAACAUAUGUGUAAGCAACUGUGCACAUCUUGACGGUACCUAAUCAGAAAGCCACGGCUAACUACGUG
rnacentral:rRNA from 1 species